UCACCCACCACUCCUCUCACAUGACUGCUUUAAAUCCAAACCCACGUGGUCCCAUCCCGAAAAGUAAUGGCUGCCUUUGAGUUAAUCAAAUUGCUCAUGAAAAGAGCAGCUCACACAACCUCGAGGAAGGCCACGUAAUGUGAUUGAAAGCUUAAGAAACACUAAAACGAUGAUCCAAUAACCGGAGGCUGCAGCAUCUUCAAGAAAAUGUCAUUCUCGAGCUCCCUUCACAGGUAUCUACUGGGAGGAAGACACCAUUCACUACCCGAUCCCUCCUCACCAGGUUAAUGAUGCUCUACAGAGCUGGAGCUUCAUGAGGAGCUCCUAAUGUGACAGACUGUGCAGACUCUCCUCACAACAGUUUCUGACACACUCAAUGGAGUGGAAAGUCGAGCAGAAACACAGUGAUGCGUUUGAAAGACAGAUGGGAGAAGUGCAACCCGACAACCGUCCAGAAGACUGUUGAUGUCCGAUAAACGAAGGAACAAAAAGGAGAUAAUAGAAAUAAAAUCAAAUAAAACGUUAGGCCUGUUUGACAUUUUGUAUUGACCAAUGCCCACGAUUGGCUGGCCCUUAGUGUAUGUUGGGUUGCUCUUUUUGAUGUACAAUAUAGACUUGUACAUCCAAAGAGCAAAAGCCAUUUUUGCAACAGGUUGUUAUCUGGACGCCUUCACACGGUGGUUUUAUUUCAUGCUAACGUCAAAAUACUUUUAUGGAAAUAUCCCAUUGUUGCAUUAUUGUUUUGAAUCCUAAUUAUUUCCCCAUAUUUUACUGUAUGUGGUGAAGACGACCCCUCAUUUCUUAAUGAGUGUUGUCUAAUUGAAAUGGCGUCAUUUCUGUUAUAUAAUCCUAUUGUUGCUGAUGUCAGACAGGGAGGUUUGUACUUGAAGUUGUGGGUGAUAGAAUACCUUUUUAUUUUUCUAUUUAGCUUCAUGACACCCAAU